UACGGGGGGGGCAAGCGUUGUUCGGAAUUACUGGGCGUAAAGGGUUCGUAGGUGGCUUACUAAGUCAGACGUGAAAUCCCUCAGCUUAACUGGGGAACUGCGUCUGAGACUGGCAGGCUUGAGUGCAGGAGAGGAACGCGGAAUUCCAGGUGUAGCGGUGAAAUUCGUAGAUAUUGGGAAGAACACCGGUGGCGAAGGCGGCGACCUGGUCCUUGACUGACGCUGAGGCGCGAAAGCGUGGGGAGCAAACAGG
rnacentral:rRNA from 1 species